UACGUAGGGGGCAAGCGUUGUCCGGAAUCAUUGGGCGUAAAGAGCGUGUAGGCGGUUCGGUAAGUCGGCUGUGAAAGUCCAGGGCUCAACCCUGGGAUGCCGGUCGAUACUGCCGGACUAGAGUUCGGAAGAGGCGAGUGGAAUUCCUGGUGUAGCGGUGAAAUGCGCAGAUAUCAGGAAGAACACCCGUGGCGAAGGCGGCUCUCUGGUACGUGACUGACGCUGAGACGCGAAAGCGUGGGGAGCGAACAGG
rnacentral:rRNA from 1 species